rnacentral:rRNA from 1 species
UACAGAGGGUGCGAGCGUUAAUCGGAAUUACUGGGCGUAAAGCGUGCGUAGACGGUUAUUUAAGUCGGGUGUGAAAGCCCCGGGCUCAACCUGGGAAUUGCAUUCGAGACUGUAUAGCUAGGGUACGGUAGAGGGAAGUGGAAUUUCCGGUGUAGCGGUGAAAUGCGUAGAUAUCGGAAGGAACAUCAGUGGCGAAAGCGACUUCCUGGACCAGUACCGACGUUCAGGCACGAAAGCGUGGGGAGCAAACAGG